rnacentral:rRNA from 1 species
GACGAACGCUGGCGGCGUGCCUAAUACAUGCAAGUCGAGCGAACGGACGAGAAGCUUGCUUCUCUGAUGUUAGCGGCGGACGGGUGAGUAACAAGUGGAUAACCUACCUAUAAGACUGGGAUAGCUUCGGGAAACCGUAGCUAAUAACGGAUAAUAUUUUGAACCGCAUGGUUCAAAAGUGAAAGACGGUCUUGCUGUCACUUAUAGAUGGAUCCGCGCUGUAUUAGCUAGUUGGUAAGGUAACGGCUUACCAAGGCAACGAUGCAUAGCCGACGUGAGAGGGUGAUCGGCCACACUGGAACUGAGACGCGGUCCAGGCUCCGACGGGAGGCAGCAGUAGGGAAUCUUCCGCAAUGGGCGGAAGCCUGACGGAGCGACGCCGCGUGGGUGAUGAAGGUCUUCGGAUCGUAAAACUCUGUUAUGGGUGAAGAACAUAUGUGUAAGUAACUGUGCACAUCGUGACGGUACCUAGUCAGAAAGCCACGGCUAACUACGUG